ACCCGCUGAAUUUAAGCAUAUCAAUAAGCGGAGGAAAAGAAACCAACAGGGAUUGCCCUAGUAACGGCGAGUGAAGCGGCAACAGCUCAAAUUUGAAAUCUGGCUCUUUCGGGGUCCGAGUUGUAAUUUGCAGAGGGUGCUUUGGUGUUGGCGGCGGUCUAAGUUCCUUGGAACAGGACAUCGCAGAGGGUGAGAAUCCCGUAUGUGGUCGCCUGCCUUCGCCGUGUAAAGCCCCUUCGACGAGUCGAGUUGUUUGGGAAUGCAGCUCUAAAUGGGAGGUAAAUUUCUUCUAAAGCUAAAUACCGGCCAGAGACCGAUAGCGCACAAGUAGAGUGAUCGAAAGAUGAAAAGCACUUUGGAAAGAGAGUCAAACAGCACGUGAAAUUGUUAAAAGGGAAGCGCUUGCAGCCAGACUUGCCUGUAGUUGCUCGCCUGGGCUUUUGCCCGGGUUACUCUUCUGCAGGCAGGCCAGCAUCAGUUUGGGCGGUCGGAUAAAGGUCCCUUUCACGUAUCUCCCUUCGGGGUUAACAUAUAGGGGGGACGUAAUGCGACCAGCCUGGACUGAGGUCCGCGCAUCUGCUAGGAUGCUGGCGUAAUGGCUGUAAGCGGCCCGUCUUGAAACACGGACCAAGGAG
rnacentral:rRNA from 1 species